UAGAAAGCAUGAAACAACUCGGCAAAGCAUGAAAUAGAACUGUUAAACCUUUUCAAAACACCCAAUCUUCCAUUUUCAGUCUUCCACACCUUCCCCCUUCAAACCUCCCUCACCCAAUCUUUUGCUCCGUCAAAUUGCCGUCAUUGACUCCGAUCACCGGCAGCAGAGAUGAGCGGACACGAUUCAAAGUAUUUCUCCACCACUAAAAAGGUGAAAUCCUUCAGCUUAAAGAAGAACUCAUUUCACAGUAAAAGAUUCAUCUAAGAGUUCCAUUCUUGAC
rnacentral:lncRNA from 1 species